AUGAUGCCUGCCUUUGUACCUGCUCCCCGGGUGGUCUCACAGAGGGGCGGGGGCAUCAGACAUGGGUGUUCUGAGAGCACUCAGCUAAGGAGCCCUGGGAUGGAUCCCAUUGAAAUCUCUUCUCACUUCAGCUCUGAUGCAGUCUCCCUGUCACCAAGGGCCAUCCAGUGGAAACUUGACUUUCCCAAGAGCACAGGUACAAAGUUCCGGGGCACAGACACAGCCAAGCACCCCGGUGGCUGAUUCCCUGCAACUGCAGCUGGACCAGCAUUUGGACCGUGGUGACAACAGAGCCAGGAUCAGCCUCUCCUCUGCCAUCGGGAGCCUGGGCACUAACAUGGGUUCUGGGGACCAACCGCCACUGCUACGAGAACUGGCUUUGGAUGCUUCCAUGUGCAUGAAGAACCCUCCCAAGCCGGAGCGUGAUGCUGGUGAGGACUCGAGGGACAGACAGCAUGGCUGUCAAAUCCAUGGCCACAUGAAAGCCCUCCAUGUCAUGAAACAGAUGAUUCCCAAGAGAAUACUGCAGUUUGGCCAGUGGAGACUGGCAUGCAGAUUCCCUGGUCUUCAAGCUUAGGGCCCAGAGAUGCCAAAGACUGCAGAAACUAAGAAAAGAGAGGCCUGUGUGAAUGAAAACCCCAUCCUGAAACUUCAUCCUAAAACCCCUUCAUUUUCCACUGGAUGAAAGGAAAUCUAAAGCAGCACAUCAAGUUAAAGCCCAAAGAGAGCACAGGAGGGACCCUUUGUUGAGAACUACAUCACAAUCCCAAGCCAUUCUCGAUGAUUUUUAUUGCAAGAGACCCAUUGGAGGAGAGAGUUUCUUGCCCUUCAGCUCCAGUUGUGAUAAACCCCUCAGGAGACCAAUGCCUGCCUAGAUCACACCCCGAUUCCAGUGACCUUCAGUCUUGCUGCUCUCAAUUCCAUCCUGCAGAGAACUGGAGUCAGCAGUACCACGGGAAGAUGCCACAUGUCACACUGGACAUUCUGGGCCAAAAAAUGGACUGUGCCAGAAGCACACAGCAUUAACUAUGCCGUGUUCUUCCUGGAGACGGUCAGCCUGAAUUUGAGCACGAGGGAGUUAUCAGACACCUUCAGGAUGUGGACCACUGAACCAGAUGACCGGUCUGUCCUUCUUCACAAAUCCCUGUCACCACAAAUAAGAGACAGCAACAUGGAGGAGAGAUAGGUUGGGUUCCAAAGGACGACAAGAAUGUGUUGCUGUAUUUUCUUAUUCCUACCAAACCCAAAAUAUCUCCUCACUGUUAGGUGGGUGUCUCCGGUGGUGGUGACAUUUCCUUGUUUGUAGGGGACAGGCCACAUGUCUAGCUUAAUGGCCUACAUUCUGAAGUUAUCUGAUCAGUUCCUCCUGAUUAAAUUCAGCCUGUGCCUUGGGCCAGGACACUCCACCGUUAAUGCUGCAUGUGUCCCAGCUCAGCCAACCCAGAGACUAAGAGGGUCCAGUUUGCCCAUCACCAUUCUGGUGAGAGCAGCUUUGGUUCCUUUGCUAUGGAGCGCCUA